rnacentral:rRNA from 1 species
AAUAUUGCACAAUGGGGGAAACCCUGAUGCAGCGACGCCGCGUGAGUGAAGAAGUAUNNNGGUAUNUCAAGCUCUAUCAGCAGNGACNAUAAUGACGGUACCUGACUAAGAAGCCCCGGCUAACUACGUGCCAGCAGCCGCGGUAAUACGUAGGGGGCAAGCGUUAUCCGGAUUUACUGGGUGUAAAGGGAGCGUAGGUGGUUCGGUAAGUCAGAUGUGAAAGCCCGGGGCUCAACCCCGGGACUGCAUUUGAAACUAUCGAACUAGAGUGUAGGAGAGGUAAGUGGAAUUCCUAGUGUAGCGGUGAAAUGCGUAGAUAUUAGGAGGAACACCAGUGGCGAAGGCGGCUUACUGGACUAUAACUGACACUGAGGCUCGAAAGCGUGGGGAGCAAACAGG